rnacentral:lncRNA from 1 species
UGCUAGAGCACGCUCUGCAAAGAUGGCUGCUCCUUAGUAACCGAAAUGAUCACUCUUCGCCUAUGUCCUUCCGUCUGCCAAUAAGAUUCAAGUUAGUAACCUCGGGAUCCCUCCCCACCCCGGAACCUGACAGAAGGUCCACUCACUCCUAUGAGGUGAGUAUACGGUCAGAGCAAACUCGAAAUGAAUAGAUGAGAAAUUAUACUACUUUCU